rnacentral:rRNA from 1 species
UACGUAGGGUGCAAGCGUUGUCCGGAAUUAUUGGGCGUAAAGAGCUCGUAGGCGGUCUGUCGCGUCUGCUGUGAAAACUCGGGGACUUAACCCCGGGCCUGCAGUGGGUACGGGCAGACUAGAGUGCGGUAGGGGAGACUGGAAUUCCUGGUGUAGCGGUGAAAUGCGCAGAUAUCAGGAGGAACACCGGUGGCGAAGGCGGGUCUCUAGUACGGUACUGACGCUGAGACGCGAAAGCGUGGGGAGCGAACAGG